rnacentral:rRNA from 1 species
UACAGAGGGUGCGAGCGUUGUCCGGAAUCACUGGGCGUAAAGGGCGCGUAGGUGGCGAGCCAAGUCCAUGGUGAAAGCUCGAUGCUCAACAUCGAGUCGGCCACGGAUACUGGUGCGCUUGAGCACUGUAGAGGCUAAUGGAAUUCCGGGUGUAGCGGUGGAAUGCGUAGAGAUCCGGAAGAACACCGGUGGCGAAGGCGGUUAGCUGGGCAGUUGCUG